AUCAGAUCAGAUCUACAGUCAUUUCUCUCCACUUUCUACUUUUGGAUGAUUGAAUGAUUCAUAGCAGAUCUUGCAGCGUGAUAGGGUCAAAUCAAGGUCACUAUCAGCAGACUUCCUGUAGACUGCCUGAACUGCUGUUAGUCUCCUCUAAAGGUUUCAAUGUACUGUCUGGUUGUAGAGAAGGAGAGAGAAAGAAACAGAGGAAUUACGGAGAAGAGUCUGAGGGGAGGGAGGGAGCAGAGGUGAAACUCACCGUCCCUCACCUAAACUCAAGUCGCACUGCAUUAGUCUCAUGCACCAAUUAUUGUUGGAAGGAAGGAGAAGGAGGAAGGAGAGGGAGAUCGAAACACACAGACAGAGACAGAGACAGAAGAAGUCACACCAGCUUUCGCUUUGGCUCCCCCUUCUGUCCAGCUCAGGCAUUGAGCGUCGCCGGCAUUCUAGCUGCUGCCGAACCUACUGCUGCAAUCGCCCUUAGAAUAAGAGACAGAGAUCGAUAGAAGAAAUAAGAACUUCAAGAGGAGAGAUGGAGAAAGGAGGAAGUGAGAAGAAGAGAGGACCAGAGAACAGUUCGAAAUUGAGCGACACAAAGGAAGAGAAAAGAAAAGCAGAAACUGACAGAGGAAGAAGAGGAGGAGGAAAGAGAAAGAGAGGAGGUACAGCUAGAGAGGGACAGAGAGGUCUCUCUUUGUCACUUUCUGAGGGAGAUGAAGUCAAACAGAAGACAGUAAGCAUGGAGAAUGAUGGAAUUAAAAUAGAAGAUUUACAAGCAGAGGCAUAGGAACGGCUCAAUAUGCAUGAAGAGAAGAGGCUAGAAAUAUUGAAGGGGGAAAGAGAACGGAUAGAAGAAGAACAACAAAUCAGGAGGAAGAAGCAGGAAAGACUGUUAUCGAUGGACAGACAGCUGGAGAGGGUACAACAACAAGAGGAGCAGGAUAAAAAACUACAGAUCGAAGAGGGUACGACAACAAGAAGACCAGGAUAAAAAAACAACAGAUCAAAAUUGCAAAACAUAAAGAAACUGACAGACUUAGAGAGGCGAAGCAGGAAGAGAGAGAGGAGGAGAGAAAGAGAGCCAUUGAAGGCCACAUAGCUUUAAUCAGAGGAAGAGAGAAGAUGACAGAGGCAAAAAAGAGGCAGGAGAUGGCAGAAGAGGAAAGAAGGGAUGAGAAGUACAAGAGGGGUGAGUUAGAGAAGCCUGAAGAGGAGGAGAAGAACCCUGAAGAGAAGGAGGACGACAAGGAGGACCUCUCCCCAGCCAAUAAAAGUAUCAGAAGGAAAGCACUGGGUGAAUAGGAAGUGGGAGAAGAGGAACCUCAAAAAGGACAGAGAGAAUGUAUCAGAGAGAGGAGGAGGGAUAUGAGAUCAUCAACAGAGGUAAGAUCUGUUUUCCUUAUGACAUCAUCAUCUUUAGUCUCCUGUACACGCACAUUAGUUCCACACCUGUCAUCAUGUUGUGUCAUUAUGUCAUAUCAAUGAACCUACCAGGUAAUACCCCAAAUCCGUAAACACGGGCACCCUCAUAGAUAUCAUCCUAACCAACCUGCCCUCUCAGCGAUCACCGCCUCAUUGCUUGCGUCUGUAAUGGGUCUGCGGUCAAACGACCGCAUCACUGUCAAACGCUCCCUAAAACACUUCAGUGAACAGGCCUUUCUAAUCGACCUGGCCUGUGUAUCCUGGAAGGAUAUUGACCUCAUUCCGUCAGUAGAGGAUGCCUGGUUAUUCUUUAAAAGUGCUUUCCUCACCAUCUUAAAUAAGCAUGCCCCAUUCAUAACAUUUAGAACAGUAACAGAUAUAGCCCUUGGUUCACUCCAGACCUGACUGCCCUUGACCAGCACAAAAACAUCCUGUGGCGUACUGCAUUAGCAUCGAAUAGCCCCCGCGAUAUGCAACUUUCAGGGAAGUUAGGAACAAAUACGUAUAUGCAGGUUGUUAGGGAGGCAAAUGCAAGCUUUUUCAAAAAGAAAUUUGCAUCCUGUAGCACAAACUCCAAAAAGUUCUGCGACACUGUAAAGUCCAUGGAGAAUAAGAGCACCUCCUCCCAGCUGCUCACUGCACUGAGGCUAGGCAACACUGUCACCACCAAUAAAUCCGCAAUCACUGAGAAUUUCAAUAAGCAUUUUUCUACGGCUGGCCAUGCUUUCUACCUGGCUACCCCUACCCCGGUCAACAGCCCUGCACCCCCCACAGCAACACUCCCAAGCCUCCCCCAUUUCUCCUUCACCCAAAUCCAGAGAGCUGAUGUUCUGAAAGAGCUGCAAAAUCUGGACCCCUACAAAUCAGCUGGGUUAGACAACCUCUCUUUCUAUAAUUAUCCGCCGAAAUUGUUGCAACCCCUAUUACUAGCCUGUUCAACCUCUCUUUCAUAUCGUCUGAGAUCCCCAAAGAUUGGAAAGCUGCCAGGGUCAUCCCCCUCUUCAAAGGGGGAGACACUCUAGACCCAAACUGCUACAGACCUAUAUCUAUCCUACCCUGUCUUUCUAAGAUCUUUGAAAGCCAAGUUAAAAAACAGAUCACUGACCAUUUCGAAUCCCACCGUACCUUCUCUGCUAUGCAAUCUGGUUUCUGAGCUGGUCAUGGGUGCACCGCAGCCACGCUCAAGGUCCUAAACAAUAUCUUAACCGCCAUCGAUAAGCGACAAUACUGUGCAGCUGUCUUCAUCGACCUGGCCAAGGCUUUCGACUCUGUCAAUCACUACAUUCUUAUCGGCAGACUCAACAGCCUUGGUUUCUCAAAUGACUGCCUCGCCUGGUUCACCAACUACUCAAGACAGAGUUCAGUGUGUCAAAUCGGGGGGCCUGUUGUCUGGACCUCUGGCAGUCUCUAUGGGGGUACCACAGGGUUCAAUCCUCGUGCCGACUCUUUUCUCUUUAUUCAUCAAUGAUGUCGCUCUUGCUGCUGGUGAUUCUCUGAUCCACCUCUACGCAGACGACACCAUUCUGUAUACUUCUGGCUCUUCUUCGGACACUGUGUUAACUAACCUCCAGACAAGCUUCAAUGACAUACAACUCUCCUUCCGUGGUCUCCAACUGCUCUUAAAUGCAAGUAAAACUAAAUGCAUGCUCUUCAACCGAUCGCUGCCCACACCUGCCCACCCUUCCAGCAUCACUACUCUGGACGGUUCUGACUUAUAAUAUGUGGACAACUACAAAUACCUAGGUGUCUGGUUAGACUGUAAACUCUCCUUCCGGACUCACAUUAAGCAUCUCCAAUCCAAAAUUAAAUCUAGAAUGGGCUUCCUGUUUCGCAACAAAGCACCCUUCUUUCAUGCUGUCAAACAUACCCUCGUAAAACUGACUAUCCUACCAAUCCUUGACUUCGGCGAUGUCAUUUACAAAAUAGCCUUCAACCCUCUACUCAGCAAAUUGGAUGUAGUCUAUCACAGUGCCAUCCGUUUUGUCACCAAAACCUCUUAUACUACCCACCACUGCGACCUGUAUGCUCUCGUUGGCUGGCCCUCGCUUCAUAUUCGUUGCCAAACCCAAUGGCUCCAGGUCAUCUAUAAGUCUUUGCUAGGUAAAGCCCUGCCUUAUCUCAGCUCACUGGUCACCAUAGCAGCCCCCACCCGUAGCAUGCGCUCCAGCAUGUACAUUUCACUGGUUAUCCCCAAAGCCAACUCCUCGUUUGGCCGCCUAUCCUUACUAGUGCUUUCAAUUGCAUUAGUCUACUUUAUUCCAAUAUUUUCAACAUUCGGUUGAUCAUAACUAAAAUUAGUUUUCCUAAUCAUGAACUUGCGAUUUUUCUCGGCCCAAUGGCUGUUUCCUUGUCUUUUCCUGCCGCCCGCCUCUGCCGCGUUAUAUCUCAACACCAGAUUAAAUCAAUAUAGCCUACUGUUUUCUAGAAAUCUGCCUUUUUUUAGGGUUCAUGCUCAUUUCAUUUCUGUGAUGUCGGACCUGGGUUCAGCUCACUGGGUUUGGAUUGGACCAGGAUCUAAUUUUCAGAUCUGAUGAGAACUCUAUCAUGUAUUCGGGUCUCGUGUGCAGUCAUGCAGUGUCAAUUAUGCAUGUGCUGUGAAUUUAUGGCGAGUUUGUGUAGCUGCAACCUGGUCUCAGAGCAUUUAGUAUUAUUUUGUACAUAAAUCUGUGACACUUCAUUUAAUUUCAGAAGUUACAUUUCAUACGGCUUUACCACAGUUGUUGGCUAAUGGUUGAUAGCUACUGUACUGUAGUUAGAUCAAUAACCCUGGACCCAUGUCAACUCCAACUCGUUGCUUUGAGGCGUGGAAAGAAGGCCACAACAACCUUCUCUCUUUGGUCAGUUUAUUAAUAAUACAAUACACUUAGACCGACUAGCUCCAACAUGAGAACUAGCUUGGUUCCAUGCUGGGGUAAUAUCUACAGUCAAAAUCUUAUGCUUAAACCAGAACGCAACAAAUAUAAAUGAACAACUCUCAUGUGAUUGGCUGGUAAGCCAUCACUCAUAUAAUAAAUACGUAGGUGGAAUCUCUACUUACAACAGUAUUAUACAGCAUGUCAUGAAUUUGCAAAACUUACCAAACGUUAAGAAUUUGCAGAACGUAUAAUAUGUUACAAAUUC
rnacentral:lncRNA from 1 species